CCUACGGGUGGCAGCAGUGAGGAAUAUUGGUCAAUGGACGAGAGUCUGAACCAGCCAAGUCGCGUGAAGGAUGACUGCCCUAUGGGUUGUAAACUUCUUUUAUAUGGGAGUAAAAUGUUCCACGUGUGGGAUUUUGUAUGUACCAUAUGAAUAAGGAUCGGCUAACUCCGUGCCAGCAGCCGCGGUAAUACGGAGGAUCCGAGCGUUAUCCGGAUUUAUUGGGUUUAAAGGGAGCGUAGGUGGAUUGUUAAGUCAGUUGUGAAAGUUUGGGGCUCAACCGUAAAAUUGCAGUUGAAACUGGCAGUCUUGAGUACAGUAGAGGUGGGCGGAAUGCGUGGUGUAGCGGUGAAAUGCUUAGAUAUCACGAAGAACUCCGAUUGCGAAGGCAGUUCACUGGACUGCAACUGACACUGAGGCUCGAAAGUGUGGGUAUCAAACAGGAUUAGAUACCCCUGUAGUC
rnacentral:rRNA from 1 species